CAGCCGCCGCGGUAAUACCGGCGGCCCGAGUGGCGGUCACUAUUAUUGGGCUUAAAGCGUCCGUAGCCGGGUUGGGAAGUCCUCCGGGAAAUCUGGCCGCUUAACGGUCAGAAUGCCGGAGGAUACUCCCAGCCUAGGGAGCGGGAGAGGCCGAGGGUAUUCCCGGAGUAGGGGUGAAAUCCUAUAAUCCCGGGAGGACCACCUGUGGCGAAGGCGCUCGGCUGGAACGCGUCCGACGGUGAGGGACGAAGGCCAGGGGAGCAAACCGGAUUAGAUACCCGGGUAGUCCUGGCUGUAAACGAUGCGGACUUUGUGUCGGACAAGCUAUGAGCUUGUCCGGUGCCGGAGGGAAACCGUUAAGUCCGCCGCCUGGGGAGUACGGCCGCAAGGCUGAGACUUAAAGGAAUUGGCGGG
rnacentral:rRNA from 1 species